rnacentral:misc_RNA from 1 species
GAUGAAGAACGUAGCGAAAUGCGAUAAGUAAUGUGAAUUGCAGAAUUCAGUGAAUCAUCGAAUCUUUGAACGCACCUUGCGCCCUUUGGCUAUUCCGAAGGGCAUGCCUGUUUGAGUAUCAUGAACACCUCAACUCCUCAUGGCAUGCCAUGAUGAGCUUGGACUUGGGGGUCUUGCUGGCCUGUGGUCAGCUCCUCUCAAAUGAAUCAGCUUGCCAGUGAUUGGUGGCACCACAGGUGUGAUAAACAUCUACGCUUGUGGUUCCCCACCAUGUAACCUUUAGCGAUGGAGGUUCGCUGGAGCUCACAAAUGUCUUUCCUCAGUGAAGACAGCUCUUUGAUUGUUUGAUCUCAAAUCAGGUAGGACUACCCGCUGAACUUAAGCAUAUCAAUAAGCGGAGGA